GCACUUCCCGGUUGGUCACACAGUCACACACGGUUGGUCACACAGUCGCACCGUUUAAAUAUAAUCUGGAGAAUGUGCGAUUUCGUGGUGUCAAAUGGUGUCAAGGCGUAAAAUAUGUCUGCGAAACGUUUUAGUCGCCCUUGGACGUGGCAUGAAUCCUCCGAAGGGUUUUGGAAGGCAUAUUCCAAGACGACUAGCUGCUGGAGCUAAAUCGUCCUCGCGUUGGGCGGAAAAAAAAAAAAAAAAAAAAAAAAACGAAUAUUACUUGGAUAGCACGGCACUGGAACGCGUUCCUAAAGAUGGCGUACGCGCUUUUGAGCACGAACUGGACAGCUUCUUUCUCGUAUUUGCCCGACCUUCGUGCGCAUGCGAGAAAACAAAUAUGAAGUCUCAGUAUAUUUUCCUUGUAUUUUCUUUCUGCUCGCGAUUGUGCCGGGAUCGCGAUCGAACACAAUCGGUAUUCAAUAUCUCGGUCUCCAUUGGGUCCUUUGCGCAAACGUGAGCCAUUGCUAUCGAGAAAUUCUAACGCGCUCGAAAGUGCAUUGUAUGUCACUGGGGUGUAAAAAAAAAAAAAAUCGAGGCAUUUAAGCACACCUAAGCAUAUUUAUGACAGAGAUGUGAAUGCGAAAGCAUUCAUGUCCAAUUGAACGCUGCUGAGCGUUCCUUCGACUUAUGAACUCCUCGCUCGAGCGCGUUGAUUCGCUUAGCCAAUGCUUCCUACCUUGCACAAGGCCGAUGCACUUCGAUACGCGUGACGUAAUGCUACCUUAAUUACCCGACUGCCAUAGAAUCUAAUGGGAACGCUUGGCUUGGUGCAUUUUGAUUUGGCCCUAUAAAUUUACCUAGGCCAUGCCGUGGUUGGAAUGCAGGCGGUAGCCUGCGCGAUAACAAAUGCUUCCGAAAGCGAGGGUGACGUGGCGUCGCGGCGAUGCCCUCUUCCCUCACGCAACACCUGGUGCGCUAAUGCAGCAGCAGAUGUCCCCUGCCCGUUCUGCUCUGCCGAGGCGCCCUCGUGAUGUGGUGUCUUGGUCAAUGGAAAUUUAGUGCACACCUGAAACCUCCUGCCAGCUGCGGAAGAAACGGGGAAGGCAAGAGAUGGAAGAGCAAGGCGACAAGAACAAGGUAAAAGCGGGAGCCAACUUUUCAACGAGACAAGUGGAUAAGUCCACUUGUCGAAACGUUGGCUCCCGCUUUUACGUUGUUCUCGUUUUUCUUCUGCCAGCUGCUAUGUCCUCGCAAGAUGAUGACACUGCAGGGCACCAUCUUGGAGCACCGCAAAGUCGUGAGAGUCGACAAAGGUGUGCCUCUCCCCAUGGCUCCAAGGCAUCCUUUCACAAUUUCCAGCAUCAGUCCGGAGCCAGUUCGGUGCAAUAACUGAAACCAUAUGGUUGGUCGCAAGGCUUUUUGCUGCACGAUAGUUGUAGGCUCGGACAACAGAGUUUACAUGUCCGCACAACCUUGGGCAUCUACCAAAAACAGUGCAGCAAAGAGCCACAAUCCGGCUAACAAGAAACACCUCAAGACGACUGACGCACCCAUUGAGCUCUGCGAUGUCACGGGCACCGUCUCGAAAUUGUUAAUGCUUUAUGGAUUUGUUGAUUUGGUACACCCACUUCGAGCUAGUGUGUUUUUUUUGUUUUUGUUUUGGCAAGAGGUUCUUCGAAAACAUUGGCACCAUGACCUACCAAAAUUGGGGCUCAAACUAGGCGAUGCAGUCAUAAUAGAUUCCGUAAAAAGUCAGCCAGGCCAGAGUGCCAAGUAUCAGGUCACUCAUAUAGAACUACUGAGAAAAAUGGCUCAUACGAGCAACCCCGCACCGAAGCAAGCAGCAUACCAACAAGGUAGCAACGGCAUCGAAAAUCGAUUUCCUGGCACAAUCCAAGCCACACAUAUCUAAUAUUUGGUGAAGACAUCAAAGAGUGUACCUACUUGUCUAUUGAUAACAUUGAAAUCUCCCUGCUUCAGCCAAAAAAGAGCCUGAAUGACCUGUUUAGCAUUGGGGACAAGGUUCACUUUGAUGCCCAGUGAAAUCCAAAGCUGACCAGCUACGCCAAGUGGUGGGCCACCAACGUCAACAAAAUGCAAAGUACCGAACUUGCCCAUGCCAACGACAGCAGAGACGAGGCUUUUCUAUUCAACAACAAUAUCGCUGAGCUUCUGCUUGACCCAAAAGUAUGGGUCUGGUAUCCGCUGUUGAACCCAACGUCAUUGUCCUAGUGCCAGACACAGUGGCGUACUGCAACGGAAGGAAGAUCAGGUCAUUCAGUGAGUUGAUGAAGGAAAGUGCUGUCCACGAAGAAUUGCAUUUCGUUGUAGAUGCCGUCGAAGUGGAACACGACAUGUGGGUAGCGACACUAAUGUGGACUGAUGAACGACCCAAGCACCCACCAGUCGAGCAGAGCGAAAGCGCGUUUCACAACGCCCUCGCUCUCCCCAUGACCGAAUGACCACCGGCACUCAUGACCUAGAAGCGGGAGAGCUCGGCAUCUUCAACAAGUAUACCAAGUUCUGCUCCGCAGCUGACGUUGACCAUUCGGUGAUGGUUUACCUGCAGAGCAAGAUAAUACUCAAGGCCGUGAACGACAACAGCACAUUGUACGAAAUGCAGGAGCCGGAUGGGAUGCAGCAAACGUGCAGUUGUUCAUAUUCUGUAGAAACCAUGUGCCCCACAUAGGUCACUUAAAGAAUAUCCUCCGAGAAAACUACAUCAUUCGUAUUGACUACAUGUUCGGUACGGUUAGCAGCGGAAGGAGGUGUGCUGCCGCCUCAUGUGGCACGGAGAAAGGGCUUCAACCAUGCACCAAACAAGUCCCUCAGAGUUUGGCCUGCUGCUGAAGGCCAGUACAGCGCAGCAAGACAUCCCUGCAACGCCGAGCAAACAUGGCGAACUAGCUAACUGGCCCAUCACUACCCUCGGGUCCUGCCACCUGCAAUGCUGCCAUGAGCGGGAAAUCCACUGCAGCUGCGCCCACCCUGGAGCCUACAGUCUAUCUCUUCUCGGGCAGAAAGGGCACAGUGAUGCAAGUCUUUGUCUCUUCCGCCAUGGUGGAAGCCAGAGAGGGGCAGACUAUCCGGGAAGUGACGGUCACUGUGGACUGCUUCUACAGGGACGGCAGGACGGUCUUGAGCAAACUCAGCCAAGUUUUCCAGAAGAGGGACAUCGUCAACAUCGACUACAGUCGAACCUCGAUACAUGAAACAGCUGGAUGAUCGCGAAAUAGUUUAUUAUAGGCAGAAUUCGAUAUAUAAAAUCACGUCAGAAAUGUGUAA